GCAUAAUGUUUUGUAACCGGUGCAAAGUAUCAAGUAAUAUUUCAUCAUCUUGAACCAGACAAUUUAUUUAUAAUGCCAUGUCAUCCUGAUUGUCAUAUUUUCUUUGAAUCCUAGUCUACUGAAACAACGACUAAACUACGGAACAGAUUUGAAAACUUAUUUCACUGCUGGGUUACAUUAUCCUUGAGUAACAUAGGCUAUAUUUCAUUCAGACAAAUCUAGAAGCACAAAAUCUUACCUGGAAGCUUCAUCAACAUCAGCAACUUCGACGACAGGCGACAGGCGCAGCCUCGCGUGUGCCUCGGCGAGGCGGAUGAGCGACUCCAGCUGUCGCGGGUACGCCGAGAUCUGACCACGCCCGCUACCUACACGUCUGGAAAAAAGGAAAACAAAUUACAUAAAAACAGGUUAUAUAGUCCAUUUAAGCAGGCAAUUAACUAACCAGGAGAAAUAAUUAUGAUAUGACUACUUAUUUUCAAACAGUAAAAAAAAUGAAUCUAAAAAUCAAUAAAAAUAAAUGAACGAU